AAAUGAAAAGUAAAAUUUACACUCAGUUUCGACCUGAACAUUGGCAUAAGUAUGUCUUCAUUUA
rnacentral:tRNA from 1 species